rnacentral:rRNA from 1 species
UACGGAGGGUGCAAGCGUUAUCCGGAUUCACUGGGUUUAAAGGGAGCGCAGGCGGAUUUGUAAGUCAGUGGUGAAAGCCUUAAGCUUAACUUGGGAACUGCCAUUGAUACUAUAAGUCUUGAAUGUUGUUGAGGUUUGCGGAAUGGGUCAUGUAGCGGUGAAAUGCAUAGAUAUGACCCGGGAACACCUAUUGCGAAGGCAGCAGGCUAAACAAAUAUUGACGCUGAGGCUCGAAAGCGUGGGGAGCGAACAGG